GCGAUGUUUCAUUCAAAUUUCUGCCCUAUCAACUUUCGACGGUAGGGUAGUGGCCUACCGUGGUGGUAACGGGUGACGGAGGAUUAGGGUUCGAUUCCGGAGAGGGAGCCUGAGAAACGGCUACCACAUCCAAGGAAGGCAGCAGGCGCGCAAAUUACCCAAAUCCCAACUCGGGGAGGUAGUGACAAGAAAUAACGAUGCUCCGGCCAUCGGUCGGGUAAUCGGAAUGAGGACAAUUUAAAUCCCUUAUCGAGGAUCAAUUGGAGGGCAAGUCUGGUGCCAGCAGCCGCGGUAAUUCCAGCUCCAAUAGCGUAUAUUUAAGUUGCUGCGGUUAAAAAGCUCGUAGUCGGAUUUCGGGUGGUGCCUACCGGUCCGCCCUUGGUGUGUACUGGUAGGCGCCACCUUUCUGCCGAGGACGGGUUCCUGGGCUUAGCUGUCUGGGGCCCGGAGUCGGCGAUGUCACUUUGAGUAAAUUAGGGUGUUUAAAGCAGGCUUAUGCUCUGUAUACACUAGCAUGGGAUGACACGAUAGGACUUCGGUCUAUCUUGUCGGUCUGUAGAUCGGAGUAAUGAUUAAGAGGGACAGUCGGGGGCAUUCGUAUUUCGUAGUCAGAGGUGAAAUUCUUGGAUUUACGGAAGACGAACUUCUGCGAAAGCAUUUGCCAAGGAUGUUUUCAUUGAUCAAGAACGAAAGUCGGGGGCUCGAAGACGAUUAGAUACCGUCGUAGUCUCGACCAUAACAUGC
rnacentral:rRNA from 1 species